rnacentral:sRNA from 1 species
UCCCUACCUCAGAGAUUCUGUCAGGGGGUGUUUAUAUUGAGAAGAACGAUAAGCUUUGUCACAUGGACACAAUUGACUGGAGGGACAUCGUGAGGGACCGAGAUGCUGAGAUAGUGGUGAAGGACAAUGGCAGAAGCUGUCCGCCCUGUCAUGAGGUUUGCAAGGGGCGAUGCUGGGGUCCUGGAUCAGAAGACUGCCAGACAUGUGGGUUUGAAAUUCCCUCCAAAAACUUCACUCAUACGCUUUCAUAUCCCUUCCUCCCCAAGCCUGGGUCAACACUGUGGGGGAGGCAUGAGCAGUGGCCUCAGACUUCAGUCCUAGGAGCCCUAACAGCCAUGCUUUCUCUCCUUCCAUAGUGACCAAGACCAUCUGUGCUCCUCAGUGUAAUGGUCACUGCUUUGGGCCCAACCCCAACCAGUGCUGCCAUGAUGAGUGUGCCGGGGGCUGCUCAGGCCCUCAGGACACAGACUGCUUUGCCUGCCGGCACUUCAAUGACAGUGGAGCCUGUGUACCUCGCUG